AAAUGAAUUAAGAGGCAACUCUUAACUGGCCAAUUGGGGAAAAGCCGAGAGGCUCAAGCACAGAGGGCAGAAAGUUCUGCAAAGCAGCGCUAAACAUGCAGAGCGAAGGACACGGCGGUAGCGCCUUACAACGACGUGUCAA
ncrna:unclassified sequences IMES-2 RNA motif